AUUGAACGCUGGCGGCAUGCCUUACACAUGCAAGUCGAACGGCAGCACGGGUGCUUGCACCUGGUGGCGAGUGGCGAACGGGUGAGUAAUAUAUCGGAACGUACCUUAUCGUGGGGGAUAACGCAGCGAAAGCUGCGCUAAUACCGCAUACGCCCUGAGGGGGAAAGCGGGGGACCGUAAGGCCUCGCGCGAUUAGAGCGGCCGAUAUCUGAUUAGCUUGUUGGUGGAGUAAAAGCCCACCAAGGCGACGAUCAGUAGCUGGUCUGAGAGGACGAUCAGCCACACUGGGACUGAGACACGGCCCAGACUCCUACGGGAGGCAGCAGUGGGGAAUUUUGGACAAUGGGGGCAACCCUGAUCCAGCAAUGCCGCGUGAGUGAAGAAGGCCUCGGUGUAAG
rnacentral:rRNA from 1 species